GAUGAACGCUGGCGGCGUGCCUAAUACAUGCAAGUCGAGCGAACGGACGAGAAGCUUGCUUCUCUGAUGUUAGCGGCGGACGGGUGAGUAACACGUGGAUAACCUACCUAUAAGACUGGGAUAGCUUCGGGAAACCGGAGCUAAUACCGGAUAAUAUUUUGAACCGCAUGGUUCAAAAGUGAAAGACGGUCUUGCUGUCACUUAUAGAUGGAUCCGCGCUGCAUUAGCUAGUUGGUAAGGUAACGGCUUACCAAGGCAACGAUGCAUAGCCGACCUGAGAGGGUGAUCGGCCACACUGGAACUGAGACACGGUCCAGACUCUUACGGGAGGCAGCAGUAGGGAAUCUUCCGCAAUGGGCGAAAGCCUGACGGAGCAACGCCGCGUGAGUGAUGAAGGUCUUCGGAUCGUAAAACUCUGUUAUUAGGGAAGAACAUAUGUGUAAGUAACUGUGCACAUCUUGACGGUACCUAAUCAGAAAGCCACGGCUAACUACGUGCCAGCAGCCGCGGUAAUACGUAGGUGGCAAGCGUUAUCCGGAAUUAUUGGGCGUAAAGCGCGCGUAGGCGGUUUUUUAAGUCUGAUGUGAAAGCCCACGGCUCAACCGUGGAGGGUCAUUGGAAACUGGAAAACUUGAGUGCAGAAGAGGAAAGUGGAAUUCCAUGUGUAGCGGUGAAAUGCGCAGAGAUAUGGAGGAACACCAGUGGCGAAGGCGACUUUCUGGUCUGUAACUGACGCUGAUGUGCGAAAGCGUGGGGAUCAAACAGGAUUAGAUACCCUGGUAGUCCGCGCCGUAAACGAUGAGUGCUAAGUGUUAGGGGGUUUCCGCCCCUUAGUGCUGCAGCUAACGCAUUAAGCACUCCGCCUGGGGAGUACGACCGCAAGGUUGAAACUCAAAGGAAUUGACGGGGACCCGCACAAGCGGUGGAGCAUGUGGUUUAAUUCGAAGCAACGCGAAGAACCUUACCAAAUCUUGACAUCCUUUGACAACUCUAGAGAUAGAGCUUUCCCCUUCGGGGGACAAAGUGACAGGUGGUGCAUGGUUGUCGUCAGCUCGUGUCGUGAGAUGUUGGGUUAAGUCCCGCAACGAGCGCAACCCUUAAGCUUAGUUGCCAUCAUUAAGUUGGGCACUCUAAGUUGACUGCCGGUGACAAACCGGAGGAAGGUGGGGAUGACGUCAAAUCAUCAUGCCCCUUAUGAUUUGGGCUACACACGUGCUACAAUGGACAAUACAAAGGGCAGCGAAACCGCGAGGUCAAGCAAAUCCCAUAAAGUUGUUCUCAGUUCGGAUUGUAGUCUGCAACUCGACUACAUGAAGCUGGAAUCGCUAGUAAUCGUAGAUCAGCAUGCUACGGUGAAUACGUUCCCGGGUCU
rnacentral:rRNA from 1 species